ensembl:lncRNA
GAGCCGGGAACGAGCUCAUAAAGAGCACGCGCAUUUUUAGCGGUCCGGAGCUGUAGGAGAAACACAAAUUACCUCAGGCACACAGACUGAUGCGACAAAACCGACAUGACUGGUUAGGACAUGAGGAGGAAACAGUAGGAGCUGUGUGAGGCUACUAAAGGCAGUGGAUCCCUCAGCAGCUGGAUUACAAAGAACACAGAUAGACAGCAAGUGGAGAGUGAUAUGUGAAAUGAGGGGAUGGAAAGAAGAAGAGAAGCAGCGUGAUUCACAGUCUCAGAUCAGCACAGCCCUGCCCUCCAGCACUAUCAGCAGCAGGAGCAGCAGCAACCCCUCAACACCAACAUUGUACCCAUCAGAAGACGCCACAGACCCAUCAACAAACAGAAGGGACAGUAUACAUAAACUGAUGCUGCUGUGAAACAUGAAUCGUUUUCUCACUUGUGGGUCCCGCAUUGUGGAGCCAAGUAUCGCAGCCCACACCUGGAGUGUUAAUUCUCAGAAAUGGCAGAUGCAGCUUUUGUACGGGAAAGACAAUUCGACAAAGU